rnacentral:rRNA from 1 species
UUGGACAAUGGGCGCAAGCCUGAUCCAGCCAUGCCGCGUGCAGGAUGAAGGCCUUCUGGUUGUAAACUGCUUUUGUACGGAACGAAAAGGUGCCUUCUAAUAAAGGGCGCUCAUGACGGUACCGUAAGAAUAAGCACCGGCUAACUACGUGCCAGCUGCCGCGGUAAUACGUAGGGUGCGAGCGUUAAUCGGAAUUACUGGGCGUAAAGCGUGCGCAGGCGGUUUUGUAAGACAGAGGUGAAAUCCCCGGGCUCAACCUGGGAACUGCCUUUGUGACUGCGAGGAUGGAGUGCAGCGGAGGGGGAUGGAAUUCCGCGUGUAGCAGUGAAAUGCGUAGAUAUGCGGAGGAACACCGGUGGCGAAGGCAAUCCCCUGGGCCUGCACUGACGCUCAUGC